rnacentral:tRNA from 1 species
CUAAGGAUGGUUCUUCAGAAGCUUGCUUCUAUCGAACCGUUUUAGAAACAUCAGUGGCCAACGGUCGUCAGGAUCGUUGAGCUGCAUUGGCGGGAUUUCGCCGUCUUCGUUUCUCUUUCUUCGCGGACGAACACGCGCUGGGGCUGCAACCUUGCAGAAUCCCUGGUCCUUGACUGGAUAUGCGUUAGGGGCUUGUAGCUCAGUUGGUUAGAGCGCGCGCUUGAUAAGCGUGAGGUCGGAAGUUCAAGUCUUCCCAGGCCCACCACACUCAUCGAGUGAGCAUUCGUCUUCUGGUUACGGGGCCAUAGCUCAGCUGGGAGAGCGCGUGCUUUGCAAGCAUGAGGUCGUCGGUUCGAUCCCGUCUGGCUCCACCAGAUGGUUUGAUCACCGAUUACUCAUACCGUCGUCCGCGAAACAUCACUUCGCACUUACUAGUCCGGAUGGACAGUAAGCUGCGUGAUUUCUGACAUCGUAAAGAGGAGAUCGAUCCGAGUUGGAUCGGGCAACAAGCAAUUGUUGCGCGAUACUUCAUUAUCUCCGGAUCAUUUCGGCGCUCGUGCGUCUUCCAGGGUAGCUCACAAGGCUGCAUUGAAAGACAAGCGAGUUGUAAAUGAUCCUUUUAGCGAAGCUUGACCGCCUCGCUAUCGGAACGAUCUUACGAAGCAAGCUGGUCUUUCUAAUCAUUGUCCGGCUGCAGAUAGCGUUCAUCGAGGGCGCGUACCGCAAGGUAGUUCUGCAGACAACAUUCUGCCGAGUGUGUGGACAUUGAUAAUGAGAGC